AGUGAAGGAUUGCUCAUAGUGGGCUCAAAAGUAGAUGGCGCAAGACGGAGCAAAGGAGCCAGAAAAGAGCAGGAGGAGACACUAGAAGCGUGGGUCGGCCCCUGAGACAUGUACUGAAUGGAUGUGGUAUGACAGCACAAGCCCAAUUAGUCUUGGAUGCCAGGGCUGCUACAGGGAGGUCGGUGCAAGUGAUCAAACCAUUCAUGCAUUCAAGCACUCGCCCGCAGGCGUUCUCUGCUGACAGCCUGGCGACACACUCCACAGUGCCAUUCCUCCUGCCAUCUACACCCUCAUGCUUGUCCCGACAGCUUGUGUAUUACCUCAUCCCACUCAGAUGCAAAGGAAGGCAUGCGCUCGAUGGACGGCUGCCCAGAACUGCAGUUAGCCACAGAGCCGCUGCGGUUUCCCAGACCUCCGUCCUCCUCUCCGACCGGAGACGCCAACAGAUGGUGUAGCAUAGGACGUCCGCAUCGGCCCUCGGGCCCAUCAGAGCCCCCGUUGGCCAACACCACUGCUGCUUGGAAUGAGCAUAUUCAAGCAGCUCUCCCUGAGGCCCGGGAAAAUGGAUAUUGAUCUGGAGCCAUGACUAAAUGGAUUAAAUUACAGAGUAGUGUUGGUAGCGCAGCAGCAGAGAAUGAGACAAGAAGGAGGAGGAGGAACAAGAGAUGGCUAGGGAGACAAAACUAAAUGAGAAAGGUGGUAGUGGAAGUCUGCUAAAAUCUUUGCCUCGCAGACUGAUUUCUUUCUUGAGCAUUCCUUUAAUCCACAGCCCAACUAGCAGCCCGGUGCAAUCAUCCUUGCUCGCUGUACUCCCCAGCAUCAUCCUGGUCUUCAUGCAGCCAUGUGCCAAAUGGCUACAGAGGAGUAGCUAGACAGAGGAUUAUUGUCCUCCAUUCAGCCAAGGCUGUUGAGUGGUAAAACUGCUAAAUGUGUGCUGGGAGCAAAAGAAGACUCACAAUCAUGAAUUCAGAACCUGAAUAAUUCCGUAGAGAGCGUAAAUCUGGACGAAUCUGGCCGUCAGUCAGUCACAGUCAAAGUUGUUUGCUACAAACAGUUAAUCAAUCAGCAAACCUUCUUAAGCCUUUCUCCUGCACAGCCUUGCUGAUGGGCCCAGGGGCUGCGGAGAAUCGUUUUCUGAGUGCGUCUCCUGUGAACUCUGAUAUUCGGGACAUUAAUGCAUUCACUUGUGACAAGAAUAUCAAAGAGCAUCAAGGGCACAAGUGGAUCCAGCAGCGCCUUUUGCAACCUAAAGUAUUAUUUCAUAGGCGAUUCAUAGACCUCAACCCAGAAAGCGGAACAAAAGCUGCAAACGGAAAAGUGACAUCAAAACCAACAGGACGACUUACUGCAAAACACUAGGACAUCAGUGAACCCAUGUGUAUCCAUUCUCCUCCUUCAUGAACCAGUGGAAUUUUUAAAAAGACAGACAGGAGGACAGCUACAAUGAAGGAAGCAACCCUUUGAUGAUUUCUGGAGAAGUUCAGGACUGAGACCAACUCAGAACUCAUCCAUGUUGGUUUUGUUUGGCUGUUCACCAAGUCUUAAACUUGCCCAAAUGUCUGAGAUGUACUGUUGGGGUUCCAAUAAAGUUUUUAAAAAUAUGUAA